CACAUGCAAGUCGAACGGCGGCACAGGAGAGCUUGCUCUCUGGGUGGCGAGUGGCGGACGGGUGAGGAAUACAUCGGAAUCUACUCUGUCGUGGGGGAUAACGUAGGGAAACUUACGCUAAUACCGCAUACGACCUACGGGUGAAAGCAGGGGAUCUUCGGACCUUGCGCGAUUGAAUGAGCCGAUGUCGGAUUAGCUAGUUGGCGGGGUAAAGGCCCACCAAGGCGACGAUCCGUAGCUGGUCUGAGAGGAUGAUCAGCCACACUGGAACUGAGACACGGUCCAGACUCCUACGGGAGGCAGCAGUGGGGAAUAUUGGACAAUGGGCGCAAGCCUGAUCCAGCCACACCGCGUGGGUGAAGAAGGCCUUCGGGUUGUAAAGCCCUUUUGUUGGGAAAGAAAUCCAGCUGGCUAAUACCCGGUUGGGAUGACGGUACCCAAAGAAUAAGCACCGGCUAACUUCGUGCCAGCAGCCGCGGUAAUACGAAGGGUGCAAGCGUUACUCGGAAUUACUGGGCGUAAAGCGUGCGUAGGUGGUCGUUUAAGUCCGUUGUGAAAGCCCUGGGCUCAACCUGGGAACUGCAGUGGAUACUGGGCGACUAGAGUGUGGUAGAGGGUAGCGGAAUUCCUGGUGUAGCAGUGAAAUGCGUAGAGAUCAGGAGGAACAUCCAUGGCGAAGGCAGCUACCUGGAC
rnacentral:rRNA from 1 species